rnacentral:rRNA from 1 species
GAUGAACGCUAGCUACAGGCUUAACACAUGCAAGUCGAGGGGAAACGACAGAGGAAGCUUGCUUCCUUUGGGCGUCGACCGGCGCACGGGUGAGUAACGCGUAUCCAACCUUCCCGCAAGUAAGGGAUAACCCGUAGAAAUGCGGCCUAAUACCUUAUGUUUUCCUUAGAGGGCAUCUGAUGAGGAACAAAGAUCCGUCGCUUGCGGAUGGGGAUGCGUCUGAUUAGUUAGUCGGCGGGGUAACGGCCCACCGAGACGACGAUCAGUAGGGGUUCUGAGAGGAAAGUCCCCCACAUUGGAACUGAGACACGGUCCAA